rnacentral:rRNA from 1 species
AGUGGAGCCUGCGGCUUAAUUUGACUCAACACGGGAAACCUCACCAGGCCCGGACACCGGAAGGAUUGACAGAUUGAGAGCUCUUUCUUGAUUCGGUGGGUGGUGGUGCAUGGCCGUUCUUAGUUGGUGGAGCGAUUUGUCUGGUUAAUUCCGAUAACGAACGAGACUCUAGCCUGCUAACUAGGCGUAUUUCGACAUCCCAAAGGCCCGCCGAUUUGGGGUUUCGGCUCCUUUUCGCGCGCGGUUUUUACUGUCGGCGUACAAACAAUUCUUCUUAGAGGGACAGGCGGCAUCUAGCCGCACGAGAUUGAGCAAUAACAGGUCUGUGAUGCCCUUAGAUGUUCUGGGCCG